rnacentral:rRNA from 1 species
AUUGAACGCUGGCGGCAUGCUUUACACAUGCAAGUCGAACGGUAACAGGCCGCAAGGUGCUGACGAGUGGCGAACGGGUGAGUAAUGCAUCGGAACGUGCCCAGUCGUGGGGGAUAACGCAGCGAAAGCUGUGCUAAUACCGCAUACGAUCUGUGGAUGAAAGCGGGGGACCUUCGGGCCUCGCGCGAUUGGAGCGGCCGAUGUCAGAUUAGAUAGUUGGGGGGGUAAAGGCUCACCAAGCCAACGAUCUGUAGCUGGUCCGAGAGGACGACCAGCCACACUGGGACUGAGACACGGCCCAGACGCCUACGGGAGGCAGCAGUGGGGAAUUUUGGACAAUGGGCGCAAGCCUGAUCCAGCAAUGCCGCGUGCAGGAAGAAGGCCUUCGGGUUGUAAACUGCUUUUGUACGGAGCGAAAAGGCUCUCUCUAAUACAGGGGGCUCAUGACGGUACCGUAAGAAUAAGCACCGGCUAACUACGUGCCAGCAGCCGCCGUAAUAC